CUGGCUCAGGAUGAACGCUGGCGGCGUGCCUAAUACGAUGCAAGUCGAACGCAUUACUUCGGUAGUGAGUGGCGAACGGGUGAGUAACACGUAGGUAACUUACCUCUAAGACGAGGAUAACGACUGGAAACGGUCGCUAAAACUGGGAUAGGAUCAUUUGAGGCAUCUCGAAUGAUUUAAAGGGGCUUUCAAGCCACACUUAGAGAAAGGCCUGCGGCGCAUUAGCUAGUUGUGGGGUAGAGGCCUACCAAGGCGAUGAUGCGUAGCCGGACUGAGAGGUCGAACGGCCACAUUGGGACUGAGACACGGCCCAAACUCCUACGGGAGGCAGCAGUGGGGAAUAUUGCACAAUGGGGGAAACCCUGAUGCCAGCAACGCCGCGUGAGUGAUGACGGCCUUCGGGUUGUAAAGCUCUGUCUUCAGGGACGAUAAUGACGGUACCUGAGGAGGAAGCCACGGCUAACUACGUGCCAGCCGCGGC
rnacentral:rRNA from 1 species